CUGGUUGAUCCUGCCAGUAGUCAUAUGCUUGUCUCAAAGAUUAAGCCAUGCAGGUCUAAGAACAUGCCGCAUUAGGGUGAGACCGCGAAUGGCUCAUUAUAUCAGUUGUGGUUCCUUAGAUCUUCGGUUACACUUGGAUAACCCUGGCAAUUCUAGAGCUAAUACAUGCAUGACAACACCGACCUUUCCGGGAGGUGUGUUUUUAUUAGCCCAAAACCAAUCGUUACUUUCGGGUGACGAACUCUUGGUGACUCAGAGUAACUUUGUUCAGAUCGCAUGGCUCUUCGCCAGCGACGCAUCUUUCAAAUGUCUGCCUUAUCAACUUGUUGGUUGGUUAAAUGCCAACCAAGGUGGUAACGGGUAACGGAGAAUCAGGGUUCGAUACCGGAGAGGGAGCCUGAGAAACGGCUACCACAUCCAAGGAAGGCAGCAGGCGCGCAAAUUACCCACUCCCGGCUCGGGGAGGUAGUGACGAAAAAUAACAAUACCGGACUCUUCCGAGGCUCGGUAAUUGGAAUGGGUACACUUCAAAUCCUUUAACGAGGAUCUAUUGGAGGGC
rnacentral:rRNA from 1 species